rnacentral:rRNA from 1 species
GAGUUCACAUCGACGGGGAGGUUUGGCACCUCGAUGUCGGCUCAUCGCAUCCUGGGGCUGUAGUCGGUCCCAAGGGUUGGGCUGUUCGCCCAUUAAAGCGGUACGCGAGCUGGGUUCAGAACGUCGUGAGACAGUUCGGUCCCUAUCCGUCGUGGGCGUAGGAAAUUUGAGAGGAGCUGUCCUUAGUACGAGAGGACCGGGAUGGACAUACCUCUGGUGUACCAGUUGUCGUGCCAACGGCAUAGCUGGGUAGCUAUGUGUGGACGGGAUAAGUGCUGAAAGCAUCUAAGCAUGAAGCCCCCCUCAAGAUGAGAUUUCCCAACUUCGGUUAUAAGAUCCCUCAAAGAUGAUGAGGUUAAUAGGUUCGAGGUGGAAGCAUGGUGACAUGUGGAGCUGACGAAUACUAAUCGAUCGAAGACUUAAUCAA